GAUUGGAAAACCUCAGGUCGAUAUCAGUUGUAUCAUUACGUUUGUAGUAACCGACAGCAGAACGAACUACACUUUUGUCAAAAUGAUGAAGCCAGUACUUUUCACCUUCCUCUUGGUUGCCCUCUUUGCUGCGUACUCCGCAUCUCCAGUAGCUGAUGCUGAAGCUGCACCAGCUCCUUGUUGGUGGUGGCUUUUAUUGACAACCACAACAACAACUACUACUACUACUACCACCACAACCACCACCACUACAACCACUACUACAACAACAA